rnacentral:rRNA from 1 species
AGCGAACGCUGGCGGCAGGCUUAACACAUGCAAGUCGAGCGGGCAUCUUCGGAUGUCAGCGGCAGACGGGUGAGUAACACGUGGGAACGUACCCUUCGGUUCGGAACAACUCUGGGAAACUGGAGCUAAUACCGGAUACGCCCUUAUGGGGAAAGGUUUACUGCCGAAGGAUCGGCCCGCGUCUGAUUAGCUAGUUGGUGGGGUAACGGCCUACCAAGGCGACGAUCAGUAGCUGGUCUGAGAGGAUGAUCAGCCACACUGGGACUGAGACACGGCCCAGACUCCUACGGGGGGCAGCAGUGGGGAAUAUUGGACAAUGGGCGCAAGCCUGAUCCAGCCAUGCCGCGUGAGUGAUGAAGGCCUUAGGGUUGUAAAGCUCUUUUGUCCGGGACGAUAAUGACGGUACCGGAAGAAUAAGCCCCGGCUAACUUCGUG